UCCCUGGUGGUCCAGUGGUUAGGACUCUGAGCUCUCACUGCUGAAAUCUGGGUUCGAUCCCCAGUCAGGGAA